GCACAUGGAUUUUGAGUUGCCCAGGUUGAUGAAUUUGGCUCUGUUUUCACAGGGCUGUUGAUACUGCAGUGACAUGGCUACUGGAGGAGGAUGAAAUUGAGUAGUUACUUCUGCACAGCAUGCAGCUGAAGGACCUUUACCCACAAGACCACCACUUCUGUGUUUGGCCAACUACCAAAGACUGGUGGGAAAGGGUAGUGAUGCACAACUGGAUGAACAGCAGUGGCGGCAAAACUUCAGGAUGACAAAAGCAGCUUUCCUAGAAAUCUCUGCAGAGUUCAACCUGGAGCUUCAGCAGCAGGAGACUAAUAUGAGCUCCCCGAAGUGUGUUGCUAUCACCAGCUCAAAGCUCUCCACCACCUUUCAGUAGCUAACCAGUUUGAUGUUGGCAGAGCAAAUGCAGUGCCUAAUCAUGGAGGUUUGUGAGGUAGAUGCUGCAGUGCAGUGUCAUAAAGGUUGGCAAUGCAUAAGAGGUUACUGAUGGCUUAGCAUGGUUGAGGACCCCAAACUAUACAGGGCUAUUAAAUUGGACAUGUGCCUAUUUACGCCCCCUACUCCAGAAGAAAGACUUAAUCAACAGAAGAGUUAUUUCUCCAUGAUGCUGCAAGGCCUGGUUGAUCACGGCAGAGUGUCAGUGGAAUGUACUUUUAGAAGGCUGAAUGGGAGAAGGCUAGGUGUUUUUCAUCAUUAUGUGCUUCAUAUAGGACUAGACACACGUGUCCAAAGAGGAAAAUCUAAUCCAGCACUACUGCUGAGUACUGGAAAGUUAUAUCCUGUCAAGAUGAACUCAGAGCAGUGGAGGGAACACUGGAACUAGCUGAAGGACUGCCAGCAACACAGUAGUUAGGAAUUGGUACAUAGGAACUGGUACAAAUCUUAGACAAAUAAACUCACUGGAAGUUACUCUCUUCUAAGGAAGAUUACUUACUAUGUCCUAAAAUACCAGAUAAAUCACUGAAAAUAGGUUUAAUGUGGACAUAAGGCACUUUUAAGGAGCACUAACUACAGAAUAUACCAUCCCCGUGGAGACAAGGCUUUAGAAGGCAACACUGCAUUGAUUACUGUUGAGUUGUGUUUGGAAGGUCAACUUCAUGACCAUAAGGGCCAGAAAUUUAUUAAACUUACACUUUGCAGAAGUUGAUAGCUUUAUUGAGCAAAUGCUUUCAGCUUGCUUACGGUAAAAGGAUUUUUCUUAUUUG